AAAAUGUAAAUAAAUCAAACAAGUAUUUGUGAUCUUUUCAAAGUAAUUUUGUUCCUUAUUAUGUAGACUAUGUACAUAAGUACACACUUAUCACAGUCCUCAAAUAAAGUUAUUUAUGAUUUCGUAUUAGCAUUUUCGGAACGCGAAUGGUUCUUUGCGUUGUAUUAGCUUAUGCGCUAUCACGGUUAAUAUAUCAGAUUUAACAUUUGUUUACUGUCUGGUGCCUGUUAAAUAUUUUGUACACAGAUUCUUUAGAGUGUUGAGAUCAUAUUCCAGUUGCAUACGGUUUCGCAAUUAUUAUAUAUCAUUAUGCGUUAAUUUUAACAAUUUCUCCAAUCCGAACAAUUGUAUAAGAUCACUUAAAUCGAAUUUUAAAGUUAAAAGAUCCAGGAAAAUAUUUCAAGCCGCAACAAAUAACAGAAAAUUAUGACUUAAAUGAGGGCUAUUAAAUACAGCAUUUAAUUUUCGGCUCUUUGAUUAAAAAUGCGCGCCAAUAUUUGAUAGAUGCGCGCGCCGAUACAAACAACUUCCCUGUAACGCGAAACAUGUAAACCGGAUAAAGAACUGCUGUUGUUUUAACCGGUAAAGAAGGGGAAAAUAUAAAUGUAGGAAGAUAAAAGAACAAACGAACGAAGAGGUUCAAGAACGAGUGACGUGGAUGUCUCUCCGGUGCCACUCAUAUACUCUACCAGCGCUGAUCUGACGUCACGGGUAUGCUUCUUAUCAGGUAGAAGCGCCAACACCUGUAAGCUCGCACCUGUAUGCUUGAGCUUAGCGUCGACGGGAACGCCCUGAACUGAAUUUUCUUACGAAAGAUAUUUCUGCACCAGAGAUGCUACAAUCGAUGUAUUUACUUGAAAAGGCAUGAAUCUUCCGAUGUAGAAUCGACGAACGAUAUCAAUGGCAAGAGUUAACGCGUUUACAGUGGUUCAGAGCAAACACAGGUUUUAUAAAAGGGGAAAAGGAGGAAGAAUAAUGAGAGAUAGAAACGGAACCGUUGCUUCGACGAUGUCACGCGCGUUUACGUGGUGCGUUGCACCUUAUCUCGUGUCCUAGUUACAUCAUCGCACACAGUUUUGUAGUUCUUACACAAUUCCAUUCGGAAGGAACUAACAAACGUCGAUGAACAAAUUAUGAUUCACCGGUGAAACCAUUAUACUUUAUUUCAUGAUGUACAAUCGUAAUAAAUUUGUUCGGUUUCGCUCCACUAGAGUUAUCGAAUGUUUUA